AUAAUUGAUACUUAAGAUUUUGUUGUGUGUUUUUGGUAGGAAAAAAAAAAGAAAACAAAAGAAAAGAUAAGAAAGCAGCAACUACAACAGAUAAAGAAAAGAAAGGAGUUACGUGAAAACCAAAGAUAUCCCAAAAUCUCGUCAAGGCUCAUCUUCAACAAUAUCAUCCGAAGUUCAAGCAAAUAGAAGAUGAAUUUCUAUAUUAAAUUUUAUCCUUCCAACCCAGAAAAUCAAUGGAGGCCGUUGUUUUUGGCUAUAAAAAACCCCAAAACAAUCAUCUCAAAAACACGCACAACUACAACUAAAAAUCUGAGAAAUUAAGAGUGAAGGUUUCGAUCGGGUCCCUGAAUUGGAGCAAUUGGAAGAGAAGACAACCAUUGAAGGAAGCUUAGUCUCAAUUUCAAGGUCGAGCAAGAACGACGGUGGAUCGCGGGGUCAAAGCCAAGUAUCAUACGGGUUGAUUAGCUCAUGUGAAGAGAAAGGAGGGCAGAUUCGAAAUAGUAGUAAGGAGCGGGCACUCCAAUAGAGGUGCAUUCGCGCUCCAAUACUGAACAUGCAGCAGAAUCACAAGCCAGAUUAGGAGCGGGCAAUCCUCAAGAGUCGCACGCCCGUUCUUGAUUGAGCUAGCUUAAAAUAGAAUCAACAGCAAAGAGCAGGAGCGGGCGCUCCAAGUUGAGUGCGUGCCUGCUCUUGAUUGUUCAAGCAGCUAAGCAGAUUCACCAUUAUAAUUUGGAGCGGACGCUCCGGGUAGAGUGCAUGCCUGCUCCAUACUGCCAAAGGUAACGGGAUCUUUAACAAGGCUAGGAGUGGUUGCUUCAAACAAUCUGGAUGCGCGCUCCUAGAAGAAAAGAAACAAGACAAAUUCUCCAGCCAAGUUUUGAAGUAGGCGCUCCAAGUAAGCUAGACGCCCGCUCCUUUCUGGGUUUAGAAUCAGUAGCAAAUGCAUGAAUAGGAGCGGGCGCUCCUCUAAGCCUGCAUGCCCGCUCUGUCAAUAAGCCAUAGUUAAAUUCUAAUUUGGAGCGGUCGCUCCUGAGGCACUACAUGCCCGCUUCAGACUCCUUCAAACAAGGCAGUAACUGUAGUUGCAUGUGGAGCGGGCGCUCCUGGUGGAGUGCACGCCCGCUCCUAUCCUCUCAUCAACUCUCGGAAACAAAAGAAGGGGAUUUUGAAAUAAUCAGAAGCUCAAAAGUUGGUUAGGAGCGGGCGCUCCAGUUACACAGCACGCCCGCUCCUGGGUUUGAAAACAGAAUCAGUUUUGGAGUUCAGAUUUGGAGUGGGAGCUUGGAUACCACUGCACACUCGCUCCAGUCUUCGAAGAGGAUUCAGUGAGAAUUUUAAACGAUUGGAGCGGGCACUCCACUCCGCCUGCCUGCACGCCCGCUCCAACCCAAUCCGGGUAGAUUUUCGAGAUUCCCUUUUAAUCUCUUUUCACCCUCUUUCAUCCUCCACCUCUCAUUUUACCCAUAUUCAUCUUCUCUUUCCUCUUUUCCCAUAUCUUUCUCACACUAAAACCCUUAUUCCCUCUACCUUCUCACUUCAAAAACAUCAUCAAUCCUUCAUAUUUUUCACUCAAAAUUCACAAAUCCGGAAUCUCCAUCCAAUUCUCUCUCUAAAAAUCACAAAUUUUCACAAUUUUGAACAAGAAUCUGAAGACCCACUAACUCUCCAUAGCAAGAACAGUUAUAAAUUGGUGAAAUCUUGAGGAAGGAGGGGCAAUUUGAGAAGUCAUGGAGGAAUUUAGAGUAUUUUCAUACUCUAGUUGGUAUAAUCUUCAUCUCUAUUUCACUUCCCCUCUUGAACCUUAGGGUUUUUCUUCAAUUUUCUUAACUUUGUUUAUUUCAUAUGAAUUGUAUAGUUAAUUGCAUGAUUAGUUGAAAUUAAACAAAUAUUAUUGCUUAUUCAGAAUUUUUGGUGAAAAAUUGUGAAUGAUAUUUGGAGUAGUUAAUGUAUGAUUGAAAAUUUCAUAAGCUUGAUGAAUUUGUGAAUUUUAAUUGUGUGUAAUUGUGUGUUGGAAAUCUUUGCUGGUUGUGUUGUUAUAUAUCUUGAUUGAUUGAAACAGGUACUUGGAUUAAUUUGGGGGUUUAAAGUUAAGGAGGUUGUUGUGUAGUGAUUUUGGUAAUUGUGGGUGUGGUGUGGUGUAAUUGAGUGAAACCCCUUUUCCUUUCUCUAGUCAAAAUGGUUUUGAGACUACUUAGAAGAGGUGGAGGAAAGAAAAGAAAGACUCAAGAUGCCGGAAUCCGAAUAAAUGAAAACUAAUCCAAUGAGGGCCAAACACAAAACCAAAACACCGCUUCACCAACUAUUAGAAUCCAAGAAAAAUUAAAAAAAAAAUACCAUACCAAAUUUUCAAAACGAAAAAUCUUUCCAACAAGAUUCUACGACCAAAAGACAUGCCAGCUAUUAGGGGUCGAUGAAGGAAUUCGACGUGUGGCCGACAAUUUCGGAUGGUUAAAUUUCCUUAAAAAAAGGGAAUUAACCUACGAGUCGAUCACUCUAGAAUUCCUUUCAUCCAUUUCCAUGCGCCUGAUUAAUGGUGAAGGAGAGUCUCUUGAGUGUGAGAUUAAUCUUUGAAUGGCCGACCUUCAACCAAAUCUACGAUCCUGAUAGUUUCUACCUCUCUAGUUACGAGGAACAAGUUUGGUGGAACACUAUAGAGGGGUACCCCAACUUUAUCACCUGGUCUAGUCAUUCUAGCCACAUCAUCCACCCCGUACUCCGUAUAUUCAUGAGAAUUAUGGGGUACGCUUGCUUUUCGAAGCAAGACCUUGGGAUGCUAACUAAAGAGGAGAUAAAAUGCCUCUUCGUAGCUUCUCGAUUUUAGGGGGAUCUCAAGGGUAAUGUUAAUAUGGGAUAUUUGUUUAUACAGAGGUGUUUGGAAAUAAAGAGGAGUACGGAUUUGAGGGGGGAGAUAAAGUGUGGGGGUAUGAUCACGAUUAUUGCCAAGGCAUUGGGGUUUACCGACUACCUUGAACAAUUGACCCCAGUAAACGGUUCCAAUGUCCUUGACAUUCAAGGACUUUCUUCAAUGCAUAUGCUUGUUGAAAUCAAAUGUCAUGUGACCCAAUACUCUUGGUUGGUCAAGAGUAAACACCGUUGCAUGCUUCCCAAUGCGGCGGUGAUGAACACCGUGGGGAACACUUGGCAAGUUCCAAUUGAGCCACUCCCCGCAGGUGUUCCCGACCUUGACCAACCAUCCCAACCACGCCGCCAUAGCAUUUCUACCAUUCCUAGAUUUAUGGGUGGCCCCUCCUCCUCUUCUUCUUCCUUCGACUUAGAAUCGGCUUUCAACAACUUAACUUAACCAACUAACGAAUUUUACAAGAAAACGAAUACCAAAGCUACGUUCAAGAGAUGUCUUAUCAAAACCAAGUUGAGAGGGGAGACUUUCUUCCCUAUGUCAACUAUCCAAACCGCCCCGUUCAAGAAGGGCCGGUCCGGGGUGGAACAACAACCAACCCACCUACUCCUAUUGGCAAGGCCCUCGUAGCUCCAUUUCGGAGCUACGAUUCUAUCCUCCCUAUGAUUAUACACAACCUGGGGGUUGUGACUCUAGGGGGACCCUUCUUAUAAUCACGUCCCCGAGACUUGUGGUAAUAUGACUCCCGAGGAGAUCGAUAACCACCCCUUAAGGGGAUACUUUGGGUUCCCACCCGGGUAUGAUGGUGGUUGGGGCGUGAGUAGUGCACCGGAUUUCGGUCACUACCGGGAUUAGGGGUGUUCAGAUCCGGGUACUCGCUUUUUCGGGUACCCGGAUCUUCCGGUAAUAUAAAGCUCGGCCCAUGUCCCAACGCUGGAAAAUCGAGUACCCGAAUUUACCGGGUCGAGUUAGCAAAUACCCGGUUAAAAUUUUAUUUUUGGAGUAAUUAGGCAUAGAAAAUUAAAAAGCAAUUCAGUAACUCCAACUCCAAUUAAUAUAAUACAAUCCAAAUUUCUAAGUUAAAGUUUCGUAUAAUCAUUACUCGUACCGUGUAACAUUCAAAUCCCAUAUCAAGGUCACAAAAAGACCUCAAUUAUUCAUUAUACAAAUUGAACUAUAAAACCAAAAAUCAAUUAUGACAUGAAAUCAAACACCUCCACUCGCACAAAUAGCUUCUUUCAUCCCUCAUCAAGCCACCACAAAAUCAACCUCCAACUCAAACGAACACACUUCGACCUGUGAGAAGAAAUUGCAAUUGAUGAAUGGUGAGGUGUCGAUUGUUGCGAUGUUGUCAUUGCUUGUUACUUGCAUGCAUUGGAGUGAAGAUGUAGAGAAAAUUAUAGAUCAAGCUGUGAGAAGAGAGUGGAGUGGUGGUCUCGUAGAUGGGUGAAUUGAAAUUCAGAAGAACAAGGAGAAUUGAAAUUCUGAAGAACAAAGACAAUUAAAAGAUAAAAAUUGAAAAAAAAGGAGAGAGAAAGAGAUAAGGAAUUGAGGAUGAAUGUCGGCUACCAUAGAGGAGAGAGAAUAUGGUGGGUGGUUGGAAAUAAAAACCUUAACCCUUAAAAACUGAUUUAUCGGGUCAGCGGGUACCCGCCACCCUCACAGGUCGGCCAAUGACCCGACCCAAAAACAUGCUGAUUUUCUUGAGUCGGGUACCCGACCUGCUAAUUUCAAAUAAAUAAAAAAAAAUACCCGGUUAAAUCAAUCGGGUCAUCAGGUCAAUCAGGUCGGGUAUUUUUGAACACCCCUAACUGGGACCGCCCCAACUAUGAUCUUCCUCCAUAUGUUGAUCAUCCCUCUUAUACCGGCGAUGUAGAUCCAAACUACAACUAUUUGCCAUUGCCGCCAAGAGAGGAUGAUGAGGGUGAUAUGUAGACAUUUGUAGUUGUCGUUCCCUUUCUUCCUUCCCGUCAUUUGUAACACCGAGGCCGGUGUCGAGUUCUUACUUGGGGGGGAGAUGUUUCCCAUUGUGUACAAUUUAGUAUGGGAACGGUAAACAAAUGUCUAGCUUGGGGGGGGGUCUUGAGGUCUUAGGUAUUUGUGCAUAGGGGUGGUUUUUGGUUUUGAUAGUAUGUGUGCUUAUUUGUGACGCUAUUUUUGUGCAUAUAUUGAGAAGUUUGAGUUUAGAUGUGGAUUGUUUGGCAUGUGAGGCUUAGUUUAGCCUUUGACACUUGUGGUUGGUUUCAUAUUGUAAUAUGUUCUAGAUUGCUUGCCUACUUUAGGCUGGUCGUUGUUCUUUCAUGAUUAUAUGACAUGUCUAGGCUAGAAUGAUUGCAUGUUGAUGUGUUUACCUUCUCUUUUAUAUGUGUGCAUUAGAGAGUCCCUAUUCUAUGUUAGCUUUGGUCUACUUUGAGGUUGGUUAUCUUGAUGGCUGAAUGCAUGGCAUGGUUGGUUUGCCUUUGGUCUCUCUUUGAUGAUGAUAUCUAUGAUGAUGAUGGUUGUGAUGAUUAAUGAGUUGGUGAUUCUUUUCCCUAAUAAUCCAAAACCCUAAUAUCCAAAUCUUUUUUUCUAUAUCCCCUUCGCUUAUCCCUAAUAUCCAAAUUUCUUCUUUCUUCCCCCAUCUUAUCCCUAAUAUCCAAAUUAUUUCAUUAGUUUACUCCCCCCCCACCCCACCCCUUAAAAAAAAUGAAAAAUGAAUUAUCUUUUUGCUUUAGAUUGGUCCUGAAUGAUGAUAUUGGAUUUCUUGUGGUGGAUAUUUGCUUUCUUUUGGUAAUAAAAUUUCGAGCAUGGUUUAGAUGCCCUUGGUUGAACAUAGAACCGGCUAGUUUAGGCUAGUGUGAGAAUAACCUUACCGAAUUUACGAUACCUAAAGACUAGGAUUGUGGUAAGAAGGUGUCGCCUAUAUCGAAAGGAUUUGAACCCUGAAAGGUAGUAAUUGAUCCUAUAUUGUUCCCAAAAAGUGAGGUUUUAAUAUUUUUCAAGCCUCCUACAUUUUGAAUGAGUGGCAAGGAUCCUCUUUGAUUUAGUACCUAUAUCGAGAACUAGAGUCCCAACUCCCAAGAUCGCGGCCUAAACUACACUUAGUGUUGUUGAAGGUUGUUAUGUAUUGUUUAUUCACAAAAAGUUAAGGCAUAUCGUCCUUGUUUCCUUAGUUCAUGCGUUAGUUUAUUGUAAUUAGUAGUUUGUAAUGUAAAUUUUCAAGUUUGAAAAAAAAAAGAAGUGAUGAAUAGCCACCACCCUAGCAAUUAAACAAGCUUGGGGGUGCGUUUUUGUUUCGAGUUUAUUCAUGGUUUGUGAUUUGGGUCAAAGUUAAAAGCCUCCUUAGGUUUGCUCUUAACGUUGUACAUCUUGGCUUGACUUUAAAUGCAAAUACUUCUAGUUUACCCUAUGCCUUAACUUUGUGUCGUAAUCCUCAAGUUGUGUAAUGUUAGUAAGAGUAGUUGAAGCCAUUGCCGGUGGAGGGAGUUGGUUCACACGCAUAUGGAAAAGGUACUUAUCAUUGAGAUGUCGAGUGUUCUAAAACCUUCUUUUGUCUAUUUUUCUUCCUGCUCCUUCAAGGAGUCAUGAGACACUACCAUUAGGGGGAAUUUGAACUUUGUGUUGGGGACGUGGUAAGAUUGGUUGAAUGGACCAAAGUUGAGUACAUUAGGAAAGGUUAGCUAGGCUUUGGCUAGUCAUGACCGUGGUGGCGUGGUUGAUCUUAGGCAUAUACCUCAUGCUCGAGUUUUAUUGCUUAAGGAUUCUUUUAUCUUUACAUGUGCUUUUCUUUGAACGGACUAAUCUAUCAAUUUCUUUUGCGCCAAGUGAAUUGCUUGGGGACAAACAAUUGGCUAGCUUGGGGGAAUUUGAUAAGUGUUUUAUUUGUCCACUUAUCACGACAUUUUUAAAACAAUCUUGUACUCUUUCUCCCACUUCAAUCCCUUUGGUAUAUAAUCGUAGUCUUUGUUGUUCCUGUACCUCUCUGUGUGUGUUCAUGCUUGUAGGUGUAAGAGAAGACUUGACAAACUUACUAAGGCAUUGAAGAACUUUAUUGAAGCAAAGCAUAAGAAGAGCGGGCAUGUAACCACUGAGGAGAGGGCGCUCCUCCAUCUUGCUGAGUUCCUGCCAUUCAAGGAACUCAGGGAGGAAUGGGCGUGCACCACAGGAGGAGCGGGCGCUCCUCCCCGAGCUGCCACAAACUGACUUCCAUCUGCAUUAGAAGGAGCGGGGCGCAACCUUCAAGGAGCGGGCGCUCCUAAUCAAGCUCCAACAAUUUGCCUUCCCUAAUGCAGUGAGGAGCGGGCGCGCAGGAAGACCAGGAGCGGGCGCUCCAAGCAUAGGAGCGGGCGCUCCUCACUGUAAAUUCGAUUUUCUUGACGGAUUUUCCUAUGUAAUUUUUGGGGCAUAAAUACCACCCUUGGCUUCAUUUAUACGAACCUUCUUGUCUCCUAACUCCCUUAGAUUCACUCUUAUAGUUAGUGUAUAGUUUUUCUCUCCCUUAGUUUAGAUUUCCAAAAACUCAAUCAUUUGUAAGAAUUAAUUGAAGUUUGCUCUAUCAAUUUCAACAAUUGUUCUCAA